rnacentral:rRNA from 1 species
CCGCUAUUGGAGUUCGAUUAAGCCAUGCGAGCCGCGAGAAAUUAGAUUCUCGGCGUACCGCUCAGUAACACGUGGGUAACCUGCCCUAUGCUGGAUAAUAACCUCGGGAAACUGAGUAUAAUGAUCCAUAGUUCACUACGCCUGGAACGGUGAGUGGAUGAAAGCUCCGGCGGCAUAGGAUGGGCCUGCGGCGUAUCAGGUUGUAGGGGGUGUAACGUACCCUCUAGCCCUCUACGCGUACGGGUGUUGGGAGACAUAGCCCGGAGAUGGAUUCUGAGACACGAAUCCAGACCCUACGGGGUGCAGCAGGCGCGAAAACUUGGCAAUGCGAGAAAUCGUGACCAGGGAACUCCAAGUGCAUCGGGUAAGACCGGUGCUUUUCUUGACUCAAAAUAGGUCUUGGAAUAAGGGGUGGGUAAGGACGGUGCCAGCCGCCGCGGUAAUACCGGCGCCUCAAGUGGUAGUCGCUUUUAUUGGGCCUAAAACGUCCGUAGCCGGUCUGAUACAUUCGUGGGUAAAUCAACCAGCUCAACUGGUUGAAUUCUGCGAGGACGGUCAGACUUGGGACCGGGAGAGGUGUGGGGUACGCUCAGGGUAGGGGUAAAAUCCUGUCAUCCUGAGCGGACCACCUGUUGCGAAGGCGCCACACUAGAACGGAUCCGACGGUCAGGGACGAAGCCUAGGGGCACGAACCGGAUUAGAUACCCGGGUAGUCCUAGGUGUAAACGCUGUGGACUUGAUGUUGGGGGUGCUCCGAGCACUCUCAGUGUCGAAGCGAAGGUGAUAAGUCCACUGCCUGGGAAGUACGGUCGCAAGGCUGAAACUUAAAGGAAUUGGCGGGGGAGCACCGCAACCUGAGGAUUGUGCGG